rnacentral:rRNA from 1 species
CAGUCGCCGCGGGAAUACGGAGGGGGCAAGCGUUAUCCGGAAUUACUGGGCGUAAAGGGAGCGUAGACGGUUAAACAAGUCUGAAGUGAAAUGCCGGGGCUCAACCCCGGAGCUGCUUUGGGAACUGUAGAACUGGAGUGUCGGAGGGGUAAGCGGAAUUCCCAGUGUAGCGGUGAAAUGCGUAGAUAUUAGGAAGAACACCAGUGGCGAAGGCGACUUUCUGGACGAAAACUGACGCUGAGGCGCGAAAGCCAGGGGAGCGAACGGGAUUAGAUACCCGUGUAGUCCCUGUCUCUUAUAC